AGCAGCAUGGCGCAGUGGUAGCGCGCGGGGCCCAUAUUGACCAUUCAUAAUGAGGCAAAUAUAGCUGGAACCCCGAGGUCACUUGAUCGAAACAAGUUGCUGCUA